rnacentral:lncRNA from 1 species
AAUUUUACCCUUGAUUUAGUGUACCACAGUACGAAUGUUACAAAUCGCACUGCAAUAUAUUUAAUAGUAACAAAAAUAUCUACAUAUACUUAUGUAUCUAAUACUUGGCGUAAAAUAAUGUACUUCAUUUUAUUUUCUCUUAUUUUUUUUUCAGCUCUUUUCUAUUUUUUACUCUAUAUUACUCUCAAUAAAACCAAUCAAACCCUAUAUAUUUCCCUAUCAUGUUGAUCUAUUAAGAUAUAAUCAUUAUAUGUUUUAAUCUUGUG